rnacentral:rRNA from 1 species
GUGAGGAAUAUUGGACAAUGGGCGCAAGCCUGAUCCAGCCAUGCCGCGUGCAGGAAGACGCAUCUAUGGUGUGUAAACUGCUUUUGUACGGGAAGAAACACUCCCUCGUGAGGGAGCUUGACGGUACCGUAAGAAUAAGGAUCGGCUAACUCCGUGCCAGCAGCCGAGGUAAUACGGAGGACCCAAGCGUUAUCCGGAAUCAUUGGGUUUAAAGGGUCCGUAGGCGGUUUAAUAAGUCAGUGGUGAAAGCCCAUCGCUCAACGAUGGAACGGCCAUUGAUACUGUUAGACUUGAAUUACAAGGAAGUAACUAGAAUAUGUAGUGUAGCGGUGAAAUGCUUAGAUAUUACAUGGAAUACCAAUUGCGAAGGCAGGUUACUACUUGUGGAUUGACGCUGAUGGACGAAAGCGUGGGGAGCGAACAGGAUUAGAUACCCCGGUAGUCC